GAUGAACGCUAGCGAUAGGCUUAACACAUGCAAGUCGAGGGGUAACGUGUUGGAAGCUUGCUUCCGAUGACGACGACCGGCGGAUGGGUGCGUAACGCGUAUGCAACUUGCCUCACAGUGGAGAAUAACCCGGAGAAAUCCGGACUAAUACUCCAUACACUCUUAAGUACGCCUGUACAUGAGAGGAAAGAUUUAUCGCUGUGAGAUAGGCAUGCGUCCUAUUAGGUAGUUGGUGAGGUAACGGCUCACCAAGCCGACGAUAGGUAGGGGUGCUGAGAGGCAGAUCCCCCACAUUGGGACUGAGACACGGCCCAAACUCCUACGGGAGGCAGCAGUGAGGAAUAUUGGUCAAUGGAGGAAACUCUGAACCAGCCAAGUCGCGUGAAGGAAGAAUGUCCUCAGGAUUGUAAACUUCUUUAGCGAGCGAGUAAGGACUUCCACGUGAUGGGAGUUUGAAAGUAGCUCGAGAAUAAGUAUCGGCUAACUCCGUG
rnacentral:rRNA from 1 species